CUAGCAGUAUCAGAGUUUGAUCCUGGCUCAGGACGAACGCUGGCGGCGUGCCUAACACAUGCAAGUCGAACGAAGCAUUUGGAGCUGAUCUCUUCGGAGUGACGCGCCUUAUGACUUAGUGGCGGACGGGUGAGUAACACGUGAGCAACCUGCCUCUCAGAGUGGAAUAACAGUUGGAAACGGCUGCUAAUACCGCAUAACGUCAUUUUGCCGCAUGACAGAGUGACCAAAGAUUUAUCGCUGAGAGAUGGGCUCGCGUCCGAUUAGGUAGAUGGUGGGGUAACGGCCUACCAUGCCGACGAUCGGUAGCCGGACUGAGAGGUUGAUCGGCCACAUUGGGACUGAGACACGGCCCAG
rnacentral:rRNA from 1 species